CUGGACUUCACCAAGCACUUCGUCGCGGUGCCGACGGAGUUCAAGCUCAGGAACAACACCGGCUGCUCCUGGAAGGUGACGGUCAAGCUGAUGAACGACAUGGUGACCCUGGAUCAGGGUUGGGCCACCUACGCAGCCGUUCAUCAGAUCAAGAUCGGCUACAUGGUGACGUUCAAGCUCCUCACUCCCGACACCCUCAAGGUCAUCAUCUUCGACGACGAUGGCAUUGAGGUCGUCAACAAGUGCGGGAAGCACGACGAAGCCUUCGCCGCCAAGGAGUAG
rnacentral:rRNA from 1 species